GCUGAGCGGCGCCGAGUCAGCACUGCUUCAGCCAACUGCUAGUGUACACCGGGCUAAGUGUAUCUACGAUAUAAUGUGACCGAACCUGUUGAGGAUUAUUGCUGAUUGUAAAGGAUGUGUGCACGUGUACGAUUCAUGGCAACAGUUCAUUCGCUUGUCAGCUUAGGCCUUUGCCUAACUUCAAAAUCAGGAGGAGGUCCCAAAUCUUUUCCCAAGGAGGAACCGUUCAACUUAACUUCUCUAUUCACCGACAAUGAGGACAGAUCCUUGCAAGACCUUUCUGGUUUCUGGAGCUACAAUGAUUCCUCGGAUAUUUCCAAGUAUGAGGACUUCGAUCAC